AAAAAAGACAAACUUUGGUUUCCGUGUCUAACGUUUGACCGUCCGUCUUGUUUGAAAAAAUUAAAAACACAAGUCACGUAUAAAAUAUUAAUCAUGUUUUAUCAUCUAACAAUAAUAAAAAUACAAAUUAUAAACAAAAUUCAUAUAAGACGGACAGUCAAAGUUGGACACGAAAACCCAUAGUUUGUCUUUUU
rnacentral:pre_miRNA from 1 species